AGCCGGGUCGUCUAGCGGCCAAGGAUGCGGGGCUCUGGCGCCCCCGUGACCGGGGUUCGAAUCCCCGCCCGGCUA
rnacentral:tRNA from 1 species